rnacentral:rRNA from 1 species
AUUGAACGCUGGCGGAAUGCUUUACACAUGCAAGUCGAACGGCAGCACGGACUUCGGUCUGGUGGCGAGUGGCGAACGGGUGAGUAAUGUAUCGGAACGUGCCCAGUCGUGGGGGAUAACGUAGUGAAAAUUACGCUAAUACCGCAUACGAUCUAUGGAUGAAAGCGGGGGAUCGCAAGACCUCGCGCGAUUGGAGCGGCCGAUAUCAGAUUAGGUAGUUGGUGGGGUAAAGGCCCACCAAGCCAACGAUCUGUAGCUGGUCUGAGAGGACGACCAGGCACACUGGAACUGAGACACGGUCCAGACUCCUACGGGAGGAAGCAGUGGGGAAUUUUGGACAAGGGGCGAAAGCCUGAUCCAGCCCUUCCGCGUGCAGGAUGAAGGCCCUCGGGUUGUAAACUGCUUUUGUACAGAACGAAAAGGUUUCUACUAAUACUAGGAGCUCAUGACGGUACUGUAAGAAUAAGCACCGGCUAACUACGUGCCAGCAGCCGCCGUAA